UGAAAAGCACUUUGAAAAGAGAGUUAAAAGCACGUGAAACCGUUGAAAGGGAAACGCGCUCGGCUAGCAAUGCGCGUCGGUGGUUCAGCCGGCUAGUCUUGUCGAGUUGUCGUGUGGCGGAUCCGAAUGGACUGUCCGCGGCGAUGUCGGUGGGCGAGCUAUGGUGCACUCCAUUGGCGCGCGCGUCAGCGUCGGUUCUCGACGAGCGAUAAGGUGCGUGGGGGAAGGUGGCUCGGUCUUCGGACGGAGUGUUACAGACCCUGGCGCUGGGUUCGUCGUGGGACCGAGGAGAGAGAUGAUCGCUGCGGCACCUGCCUCUCGGGGCUAGCCAGCUGUUGUCAGGCGUGUGUCAGGCGUCGAGGACUGCACGCAGUGCUCGGUGUUGAGGCGUGGUCUGGUGGCGGUGUGGGUAUAGAGGUGCCUAGGACGCUGGCGUCCAAAUGGCCGUGCGCGACCCGUCUUGAAACACGGAA
rnacentral:rRNA from 1 species